UAGGGAAUCUUCCGCAAUGGACGCAAGUCUGACGGAGCAACGCCGCGUGAGUGAAGAAGGAUUUCGGAUCGUAAAGCUCUGUUGUUAAGGAAGAACGAGUGUGAGAAUGGAAAGUUCAUACUGUGACGGUACUUAACCAGAAAGGGACGGCUAACUACGUGCCAGCAGCCGCGGUAAUACGUAGGUCCCGAGCGUUGUCCGGAUUUAUUGGGCGUAAAGCGAGCGCAGGCGGUCAAUUAAGUCUGAUGUGAAAGCCCCCGGCUCAACCGGGGAGGGUCAUUGGAAACUGGUUGACUUGAGUGCAGAAGAGGAGAGUGGAAUUCCAUGUGUAGCGGUGAAAUGCGUAGAUAUAUGGAGGAACACCAGUGGCGAAGGCGACUCUCUGGUCUGUAACUGACGCUGAGGCUCGAAAGCGUGGGUAGCAAACAGG
rnacentral:rRNA from 1 species